CAUAUUAUUCAAAAUUGUAAAAAUUUACAGUAGAUACAUAAAAUUCUAUUCUAUUUAAACAGGACACUCGAUCUUUCUUUAUAUAAAAAUCGAACAAAAUCGAUUGAGCAAUACUAAUCCCUGAGAACUAGGAGACGGUUGCAAGAAUCCCUUGCUAAACAUUUCGAAUCAAAGUUCAAGUAACGGAUGCACGUAUCAAGCUAGUUGCAACACGCGUCCUACGAUCGUUCCCCAAAGGUGCAAUUGUUAUAUUGUAGCAAUAAGAAUUGCAUCGUUGCCUCUUGGCACGCGAUCCGAGUGGUCCCCUAUUGGUUAGCCUAAUUGCAAGAACCACGAUAUUCUCUCGGUCGCUUAUAUAACGAAAUCGCCUCCGCCGGUGUAUCCGGAUCUCGUUGGACGUCGAAUCGGCGUGAAUCAUCCCCUCACGCGAUAUCGAUUCGUGUUUCACGCUCUUACCCAAAGAAUUCUUUCCGUUUCCAAACUUGGAUUCGCGCAAGGGCAAUUUGAAAACUAUCCUCCCUACGUUUCAUCGGCA